UUUCAUUUCCUUGCCGCUAUUUGGUGAGUCUUGUGCUGGAAAAGGGCCUAUCACCUACCUUCCUCUGGACCAGCUUUUGCAGAUGAAUUACUCUCUACCAUGGUCUUAGAAGGAGCAGUCAAGAAUGCCUCCCUUCCUUACCAUGCUGGCCUGGGCUGUUCAUGCCAGACUGCUUGCUCUGCUCUGUGAUCUGCAGAGGACUUUCAAGCACAACCUGGAGACAGAGAGCGGGCAGGGGGCCACAGAGCUCAGCUGCAGCUGAGAAGGGGUUUUCCCUCCUGGUCCUCUGCCAGUGCCAAGGAAGCCAAGAGAAGAUGAGACCAUGCUUCUGCAAAUGCAAAUAAAGAGACCUGCAGGAAGAGUGGCUGAUACCCAGAGUGCUGUGCUGCCAUUCAGAAGGAUCUUGACAGAGAGAAGGGCGGAGAAAAACACCGUGAAAUUCAACAAAGAGUGAAUAGCUGUUAAAGACAGAGUUUAGUGCUGGAAACCAUAUUCUCAAAGAAAACAAUAUCUGGGAAAGUGCACUGAAGAAAAGCAAGAUAUGACUGCAAGGCACAGAGAUUCUCAGCUGGUAUUGAAUCCCUCUGCCUCUGAUGACUUCAGAAGAGCUACAAGUCCAGUACAGAGGUUUGGCACAGGAUUGUAAUAAACAGUGCAACUACUCAUAUUAGCAAGUGAGACUACAAUACUACUUUCAAUAAAGAAAUGGGAACUUCUCCAUCGAUUACAGUGGAGUAGGUUCAAACCAUAAAAGAGCAUAUCAACAGCAGAGCCAGAACACUGUAAAAAAGCAGUCUCAUUUUGGACAGCAAAUGCAACCACACAUUAAUCCAUUUUUUGUAUAACAUAUAAAGAGGGUAGGAAAUCAUUUGUCAUUACUGGCAAAGGGGAAAAACUCAUCAACAAAGCCAUCACUUCAUUCAGGUGUGACCACAAUAUAUGUUACCACCACACCAAAAUUACAGCUGAGGCAAUGCCAGUCCUCUUUCAUGGGGACAUGGUAAACAGCUGAUAUGAGGAAAAAGGAAAAUGGUAUGGAGGAAAAUCUGUAAACCAAAGUUAUGUGGUAAGUCAAAGAGAGAAGUGCCAUAGCUGACUAUGUCCAAACAUGGCACUGGGAAAGUGAAAAUAUACCAUUUUUAACUUAAAGAUACUAUGCAGACAACUAAUUUUCUUACAAGAUUCCUCAUUAUUGCCACUGUAUUUAAGAUUUUUGCUCACUAUUCUUCUAAUUAGUCCAUAUAACACAUGACAUUAUAUUUAAUUUCUUGUUGGGAAAUAAAAGAAACAACAUGAAACAUAUUUGUCCUAUGACAACAAUUUGUAUACAUGUAGAAAGUGAAGAAUGAGAAUGAAUUCUCAAAAUAUAGGGCUCGACCAAUAAUGAGUAUAUCGUAUUGUUUAAUGUUUGCCUUGAACUUACAAUUCUUAGAAAGACAUUUUGAAAUGUCUUGAACAGAUUUUUAGUGAUGAUAAGAAUGUAUCACGACUCAGUCUGAAUUAUUCCAAAUAUUAUGUGCAUUGAAUAAUUUUCCACCUUAUUUUUAAGCAUAAUUAACCUAGUAUUGCAUCCUGAAUGCUGAAUUCCAAUGAAAACAUGUACCAGCCUUCAAAGAUCAGUAGAAAAAAUGACAUCUGGCAGAAGAAUAUAGCUACCACCUGGUCUACCAGAAGCAGGUGGAAAUCUAGGAAGUUCCUAUCUAUUGCACAUCUCCUUAAAAUAAAAAGUAGACAAACUCUUCCAGCUGGCAAAAUCUACAUCCUUUAUUGACUUUUCUGUACUGUAAAGAAUAAAAUAUGUGCAUAUAUACCUGUAAAAAAAAAUAGAAAAAGCAGUUUAUUUAACCAGAGGAAGCAUUUUUCCUGGCAGUCUUGUACUUAACUUUAUUAUUUGAAAAGCACUCUUCGGACCUGUAGUCUUCAGAAGUACAGACCUCUAUCUUCUAUCUGAAGAGAGCUUGGAAAUAUUUGAAUUGUCACAUUUAUUGACUAGUUGUGAUGAUCAACACAGACAUGAAUAAAUGCAGAUAAAUUGUUCACAG
ensembl:lncRNA